AUUGAACGCUGGCGGCAGGCUUAACACAUGCAAGUCGAGCGGGGUGAGGUGCUUCGGUACUGAUCCUAGCGGCGGACGGGUGAGUAAUGCUUAGGAAUCUGCCAUUUCGUGGGGGACAACAUUCCGAAAGGGAUGCUAAUACCGCAUACGUCCUACGGGAGAAAGCAGGGGAACUUCGGACCUUGCGCUAAAUGAUGAGCCUAAGUCGGAUUAGCUAGUUGGUGGGGUAAAGGCCUACCAAGGCGACGAUCUGUAGCGGGUCUGAGAGGAUGAUUCGCCACACUGGGACUGAGACACGGCCCAGACUCCUACGGGAGGCAGCAGUGGGGAAUAUUGGACAAUGGGCGGAAGCCUGAUCCAGCCAUGCCGCGUGUGUGAAGAAGGCCUUUUGGUUGUAAAGCACUUUAAGCGAGGAGGAGGCUACCUAGAUUAAUACUCUGGGAUAGUGGACGUUACUCGCAGAACAAGCACCGGCUAACUCUGUGCCAGCCGCCGCCGUAAAAC
rnacentral:rRNA from 1 species